AUAAAGAUGGCAGAUUUAGUGCAUUAGAUUUAAGCUCUAAAUAUGAAGAUUAAAUUUUCUUCUCUUUAUA
rnacentral:tRNA from 1 species